UACGUAGGGGGCUAGCGUUGUCCGGAAUCAUUGGGCGUAAAGCGCGUGUAGGCGGCCCGGUAAGUCCGCUGUAAAAGUCGGGGGCUCAACCCUCGAAAGCCGGUGGAUACUGUCGGGCUUGAGUACGGAAGAGGCGAGUGGAAUUCCUGGUGUAGCGGUGAAAUGCGCAGAUAUCAGGAGGAAUACCGAUGGCGAAGGCAGGUCUCUGGGCAUUAACUGACGCUGAGGAGCGAAAGCAUGGGGAGCGAACAGG
rnacentral:rRNA from 1 species